UACGGAGGGUGCGAGCGUUGUCCGGAAUCAUUGGGCGUAAAGGGCGCGUAGGUGGCUUCUUAAGCGUGCGGUGAAAGCCUGGGGCUCAACCCCGGGUCGGCCGUGCGAACUGGCGGGCUGGAGCACUGUAGAGGCAGGCGGAAUUCCGGGUGUAGCGGUGGAAUGCGUAGAGAUCCGGAAGAACACCGGUGGCGAAGGCGGCCUGCUGGGCAGUUGCUGACACUGAGGUGCGAAAGCGUGGGGAGCAAACAGG
rnacentral:rRNA from 1 species